rnacentral:rRNA from 1 species
GAUGAACGCUGGCGGCGUGCCUAAUACAUGCAAGUCGAGCGAACAGACGAGGAGCUUGCUCCUCUGACGUUAGCGGCGGACGGGUGAGUAACACGUGGAUAACCUACCUAUAAGACUGGUAUAACUUCGGGAAACCGGAGCUAAUACCGGAUAAUAUAUUGAACCGCAUGGUUCAAUAGUGAAAGACGGUUUUGCUGUCACUUAUAGAUGGAUCCGCGCCGCAUUAGCUAGUUGUUAAGGUAACAGCUUACCAAGGCAACGAUGCGUAGCCGACCUGAGAGGGUGAUCGGCCACACUGGAACUGAGACACGGUCCAGACUCCUACGGGAGGCAGCAGUAGGGAAUCUUCCGCAAUGGGCGAAAGCCUGACGGAGCAACGCCGCGUGAGUGAUGAAGGUCUUCGGAUCGUAAAACUCUGUUAUUAGGGAAGAACAAAUGUGUAAGUAACUAUGCACGUCUUGACGGUACCUAAUCAGAAAGCCACGGCUAACUACGUG